rnacentral:rRNA from 1 species
AUUGAACGCUGGCGGCAUGCUUUACACAUGCAAGUCGAACGGUAACAGGCCUUCGGGUGCUGACGAGUGGCGAACGGGUGAGUAAUGCAUCGGAACGUGCCCAGAGGUGGGGGAUAACGCAGCGAAAGCUGUGCUAAUACCGCAUGUGAUCUGAGGAUGAAAGCGGGGGACCAGGCAGCAAUGUUUGGCCUCGCGCCUUUGGAGCGGCCGAUGUCAGAUUAGGUAGUUGGUGGGGUAAAGGCCUACCAAGCCGACGAUCUGUAGCUGGUCUGAGAGGACGACCAGCCACACUGGGACUGAGACACGGCCCAGACUCCUACGGGAGGCAGCAGUGGGGAAUUUUGGACAAUGGGCGCAAGCCUGAUCCAGCAAUGCCCCGUGCGGGAAGAAGGCCUUCGGGUUGUAAACCGCUUUUGUACGGAACGAAAAGGCUCUGGCUAAUACCUGGGGCUGAUGACGGUACCGUAAGAAUAAGCACCGGCUAACUACGUG